ACCUGGCUGGCUCAGUUGGUAGAGCAUGUGACUCUUGAUCUCAGGGUUGUGAGUUUGAGCCCCACGUUGGGGG
rnacentral:tRNA from 1 species